CAGUCGCCGCGGGAAUAUGUAGGGUGCGAGCGUUAAUCGGAAUUACUGGGCGUAAAGCGUGCGCAGGCGGUUGUGUAAGACAGGUGUGAAAUCCCCGGGCUUAACCUGGGAACUGCGCUUGUGACUGCACAGCUAGAGUAUGGCAGAGGGGGGUGGAAUUCCACGUGUAGCAGUGAAAUGCGUAGAGAUGUGGAGGAACACCGAUGGCGAAGGCAGCCCCCUGGGCCAAUACUGACGCUCAUGCACGAAAGUGUGGGGAGCAAACAGGAUUAGAUACCCCGGUAGUCCCUGUCUCUUAUAC
rnacentral:rRNA from 1 species